rnacentral:rRNA from 1 species
CUACGGGACGCUGCAGUGAGGAAUAUUGGUCAAUGGGCGCAAGCCUGAACCAGCCAUGCCGCGUGAAGGAUGAAGGCCUUAUGGGUUGUAAACUUCUUUUAUACGGGAAUAAACUUAGCUAUGUAUAGCUAACUGCAGGUACCGUAAGAAUAAGCACCGGCUAACUCCGUGCCAGCAGCCGCGGUAAUACGGAGGGUGCAAGCGUUAUCCGGAUUUAUUGGGUUUAAAGGGUCCGCAGGCGGACUAAUAAGUCAGUGGUGGAAUCUCUCGGCUCAACCGAGAAACUGCCAUUGAUACUGUUAGUCUAGAGUGUAGUUGGCGUAGGCGGAAUGUAUCAUGUAGCGGUGAAAUGCUUAGAUAUGAUACAGAACACCGAUCGCGAAGGCAGCUUACGAAACUACAACUGACGCUCAGGGACGAAAGCGUGGGAAGCGAACAGGAUUAGAUACCCCGUAGUC